GUCUUCUUAGUUCAAUGGUAGAACAGUAUUCUUCUAAAGUACUUAUUUAGGUUCGACUCCUAAAGAGGGCU
rnacentral:tRNA from 1 species